rnacentral:tRNA from 1 species
GGGCCACUAGCUCAAUUUGGCAGAGCAAGCGACUCUUAAUCGCUAGGUUCCAGGUUCGAGUCCCCUCUUCCCCACCA